CACGACUACGAGUUUGAUCCUGGCUCAGAUUGAACGCUGGCGGUAGGCCUAACACAUGCAAGUCGAACGCGAAAGUCCUUCGGGAUGAGUAGAGUGGCGGACGGGUGAGUAACGCGUAGGAAUCUAUCCUGUAGUGGGGGAUAACGUUUCGAAAGGAACGCUAAUACCGCAUACGCCCUACGGGGGAAAGCGGGGGAUCUUCGGACCUCGUGCUAGAGGAGGAGCCUGCGUCGGAUUAGCUAGUUGGCGGGGUAACGGCCCACCAAGGCGACGAUGUCUAGCUGGUCUGAGAGGAUGAUCAGCCACACUGGGACUGAGACACGGCCCAGACUCCUACGGGAGGCAGCAGUAGGGAAUAUUGGACAAUGGGGGGAACCCUGAUCCAGCCAUGCCGCGUGAGGGAAGAAGGUCCUCUGGAUUGUAAACCUCUUUUGGCAGGAAACAAACCUGCGCUAUACGCGCAGCUGAGGGUACCUGCAGAAUAAGCACCGGCUAACUCCGUG
rnacentral:rRNA from 1 species